rnacentral:rRNA from 1 species
ACGGCUCAGUAACACGUGGAUAACCUGCCCUUGGGACCGGCAUAACCCCGGGAAACUGGGGAUAAUUCCGGAUAACGCACAUAUGCUGGAAUGCUUUAUGCGUGAAAUGGAUUCGUCUGCCCAAGGAUGGGUCUGCGGCCUAUCAGGUAGUAGUGGGUGUAAUGGACCUACUAGCCUACAACGGGUACGGGUUGUGAGAGCAAGAGCCCGGAGAUGGAUUCUGAGACAUGAAUCCAGGCCCUACGGGGCGCAGCAGGCGCGAAAACUUUACAAUGCGGGAAACCGUGAUAAGGGGACACCGAGUGCCAGCAUCAUAUGCUGGCUGUCCAGGUGUGUAAAAUACACCUGUUAGCAAGGGCCGGGCAAGACCGGUGCCAGCCGCCGCGGUAACACCGGCGGCCCGAGUGGUGAUCGUGAUUAUUGGGUCUAAAGGGUCCGUAGCCGGUUUGGUCAGUCCUCCGGGAAAUCUGAUAGCUUAACUAUUAGGCUUUCGGGGGAUACUGCCAGGCUUGGAACCGGGAGAGGUAAGAGGUACUACAGGGGUAGGAGUGAAAUCUUGUAAUCCCUGUGGGACCACCUGUGGCGAAGGCGUCUUACCAGAACGGGUUCGACGGUGAGGGACGAAAGCUGGGGGCACGAACCGGAUUAGAUACCCGGGUAGUCCCAGCCGUAAACGAUGCUCGCUAGGUGUCAGGCAUGGCGCGACCGUGUCUGGUGCCGCAGGGAAGCCGUGAAGCGAGCCACCUGGGAAGUACGGCCGCAAGGCUGAAACUUAAAGGAAUUGGCGGGGGAGCAC